rnacentral:rRNA from 1 species
GAUCAUGGCUCAGAACGAACGCUGGCGGCGCGUCUUAAGCAUGCAAGUCGGACGGCAAGGGUUGUGCUUGCACAACUCCUAGAGUGGCGGACUGGUGAGUAACGCGUGGGUGACCUGCCCUCGAGAUGGGGAUAGCCAUUAGAAAUAGUGGAUAAUACCGAAUACGCUCAUGACCCUGUGGGGAUAUGAGGAAAACAGGCUACGGCCUGGCUCGAGGAUGGGCCCGCGCCCCAUUAGCUAGUUGGUGAGGUAACGGCCCACCAAGGCGACGAUGGGUAUCCGGCCUGAGAGGGUGUACGGACACAUUGGAACUGAGACACGGUCCAGACUCCUACGGGAGGCAGCAGCUAAGAAUCUUCCGCAAUGGGCGAAAGCCUGACGGAGCCGACGCCGCGUGAACGAAGAAGGCCGUGAGGUUGUAAAGUUCUUUUCGGGAGGGGGAACAACCGUGGCAGGGAAUGGCCGCGGGAUGACGUGAAUCCCGGAAUAAGCCCCGGCUAACUACGUGCCAGCCGCAGC